rnacentral:lncRNA from 1 species
GCCAAAUGUGCGGAAUAGCUCAUGCAAGUCAGGCUCCCUUGUGUCCUCUGAUAGGUUGGUGACCCGAACUGAAUUCUCUUCAUUCCUGCGCCUCAUAUCUGAUCCAACUCUCUCUGCACCAGGUCUCAUGCCUGGAGGCACAUAAGCGGCUUUGCCAGUGCCUGUAGUAGCCACAGUGGUCUCGGCAGCGGGAGGUUUGUCAACGAAGGCAUCAGUUUGUGCUGCGAGAUCCUUGUAUGGGCAUCUAGAUGUCCAAUGGUCACCUUUCUUACCACAAGUUCUGCACACCAUGAGA